CACGGAUCCAGACUUUGAUYMUGGCUCAGAACGAACGCUGGCGGCGUGCUUAACACAGUGCAAGUCGAACGUGAUUCAGAGCUUGCUCUGAUGAAAGUGGCGCACGGGUGAGUAACGCGUGGAUAACCUGCCCUGGUAUCUGGGAUAACAUCUCGAAAGGGGUGCUAAUACCGGAUAAGCCUCCGGGAUCUUCGGAUUCUGCAGGAAAAGAAGGCCUCUAUUUAUAAGCUUUCGUAUCAGGAUGGGUCCGCGUACCAUUAGCUAGUUGGUGGGGUAAUGGCCUACCAAGGCGACGAUGGUUAGCUGGUCUGAGAGGAUGAUCAGCCACACUGGAACUGAGACACGGUCCAGACUCCUACGGGAGGCAGCAGUGGGGAAUUUUGCGCAAUGGGGGAAACCCUGACGCAGCAACGCCGCGUGAGUGAUGAAGGCUUUCGGGUCGUAAAGCUCUGUCAGAGGGGAAGAAAUGGAACUGGCUAAUAUCCAGUUUUCUUGACGGUACCCUCAAAGGAAGCACCGGCUAACUCCGUGCCAGCAGCCGCGGUAAUACGGAGGGUGCAAGCGUUGUUCGGAUUUAUUGGGCGUAAAGCGCGUGUAGGCGGUUUCUUAAGUCUGAUGUGAAAGCCCUGGGCUCAACCCAGGAAGUGCAUUGGAUACUGGGAGACUUGAAUACGGGAGAGGGUAAAGUUNUCNUAUUGUAUCUCUNAAANNCCCCCCUU
rnacentral:rRNA from 1 species